CAGUCGAAGGGUGGCGGCGUGCCUCCUACAUGCAUGUCGAGCGGACAGAAGGGAGCUUGCUCCCGGAUGUUAGCGGCGGACGGGUGAGUAACACGUGGGUAACCUGCCUGUAAGACUGGGAUAACUCCGGGAAACCGGAGCUAAUACCGGAUAGUUCCUUGAACCGCAUGGUUCAAGGAUGAAAGACGGUUUCGGCUGUCACUUACAGAUGGACCCGCGGCGCAUUAGCUAGUUGGUGAGGUAACGGCUCACCAAGGCGACGAUGCGUAGCCGACCUGAGAGGGUGAUCGGCCACACUGGGACUGAGACACGGCCCAGACUCCUACGGGAGGCAGCAGUAGGGAAUCUUCCGCAAUGGACGAAAGUCUGACGGAGCAACGCCGCGUGAGUGAUGAAGGUUUUCGGAUCGUAAAGCUCUGUUGUUAGGGAAGAACAAGUGCAAGAGUAACUGCUUGCACCUUGACGGUACCUAACCAGAAAGCCACGGCUAACUACGUGCCAGCAGCCGCGGUAAUACGUAGGUGGCAAGCGUUGUCCGGAAUUAUUGGGCGUAAAGGGCUCGCAGGCGGUUUCUUAAGUCUGAUGUGAAAGCCCCCGGCUCAACCGGGGAGGGUCAUUGGAAACUGGGAAACUUGAGUGCAGAAGAGGAGAGUGGAAUUCCACGUGUAGCGGUGAAAUGCGUAGAGAUGUGGAGGAACACCAGUGGCGAAGGCGACUCUCUGGUCUGUAACUGACGCUGAGGAGCGAAAGCGUGGGGAGCGAACAGGAUAGUAUACACCUCGUGUGUAGUCACA
rnacentral:rRNA from 1 species